UACGUAGGGUGCAAGCGUUGUCCGGAAUUAUUGGGCGUAAAGAGCUCGUAGGCGGCUUGUCGCGUCGUGUGUGAAAUCUCAGGGCUCAACUCUGACAUUGCAUACGAUACGGGCAGGCUUGAGUUCGGUAGGGGAGACUGGAAUUCCUGGUGUAGCGGUGAAAUGCGCAGAUAUCAGGAGGAACACCGGUGGCGAAGGCGGGUCUCUGGGCCGAUACUGACGCUGAGGAGCGAAAGCGUGGGGAGCGAACAGG
rnacentral:rRNA from 1 species